CAGGCUGCAACUCGCCUGCAUGAAGUCGGAAUUGCUAGUAAUCGUAGGUCAGCAUACUACGGUGAAUACGUUCCCGGGCCUUGUACACACCGCCCGUCAAACCAUGAGAGUUGGCAACACCCGAAGUCGGUAGUCUAACCGCAAGGAGGACGCCGCCGAAGGUGGGGUUGAUGAUUAGGGUUAAGUCGUAACAAGGUAUC
rnacentral:rRNA from 1 species